GGGAGUGGUGGUCUCCCUUUCCUGGAGUCAUUUGUGGGAGUUAGGGUCUUAUCCUGAUCUUUCCUCGUCCCCCGCUCCCCCGUCCUCCGAGGUGGCAGCUGCGUAGGUGAACGUUCCCCCUGUCCCCUUCCUUCUCCUUCCUAACCCGAGUACGCUUGCUCGCGGCCACAGUGGCUGCCUGCCCCAGGAGCGGGGAGUCCCUGCCUUUGGGGUAGGGAAAUGACUGAAAUGUGGGACCUGCGGGCUCCUCGGGCUGACUUGGACCUCACUGCAGCUCUGGAGGUGGACCUCGUCCUGGGACCCUAGAAGCCCAUUUCCGCACUCGGGCUAGGCCUUCGGAGCCGCGGCAGCAUAGUGGGAGGAGUCGGGCUCAGCUCCCCCCCACCACAACCGGGAUUAUUUUUAUCGGUUGAGUCAUCGCACUACCUUUCAUCCUUGUGGCUUUGGGCAAGUCCCCGCCCUCCGAGCCUCACUUUGCUUAUCUGUGAAUGGAAAUAACAGUGCCUACCCCAUGGGCUAUCGGGAGGAUCAGUUGUGAGGGAAUGCAGUGUGGGGUGUCUGGCCGGCAGAAUUCCACAAAUGGUAGCAGCGGUUGAUGUCACUGGAGGUUCCUGGGGCAGUAAUUUAUCAAGAGUUUAUGAUCCUGAACUAAGGAUCAUACGGAGGAGGAUCUGUGUAUAACGUUCGGCACAAUGUUAGAUAGGAAGUAAGGGCGCAGUGCACUGGAGUUAUUUUUUCUUUUUUUUUUUUUUGAGACGGAGUCUCGCUCUGUCGCCCAGGCCGGAGUUGCAGUGCCGCGUUGUCGCCUCACUGCAACCUUCUCUGCCACAUGGGUUCAAGCGAUUCUCCUGCCUCAGCCACUCGAGUAACUGGGAUUACAGUCGCACAUCACCACGCCUGGCUAAUGUUUUGCAUUUUUAAUAGAGACGGUUUCACCAUGUUGGCCAGCCUGGUCUUGAACUCCUGAUCUCAGGUGAUCCACCCGCCUCGGCCUUCCAAAGUGCUAGAAGUAUAGGCAUGAGCCACUGUGCCUGGCCUGGAGUUAUUUUUUCUCACUGGGUUUUUGAGCAAAGAAAAGGAGUUAUUAACUGGUGAGGAUAAAUUUGUGUUUGAAGUCUGGAACGUUUUUUCUUAGAGUUCCAGAAUUGAGACUGAAGUGUACCCAGAGACACAAAGAAAUACAGAAGUCCAGAAUGAUCAAAUGAGAUCACUACCCAAUGAAAUGAUGGGCCGAGGAGCCAGAAGUUGUCCUACUACCUGCUUUCCAGGUCCAGAUUCCACGAGAGCCUUCUGGGCUCCCACCAGAGACCCUCAGUGAAGACUCUGUUGAAGACUUUAAGACCAUGCUAGAAAGCCUCCCGGCAGAGGUUCAGGAAGUUCUGCUAUGAGGAUGCAGCUGGCCCCAGGGAUGUCCUCAGGCAUCUCUAGGACCUUGCUGGACGGUGGUGGC
rnacentral:lncRNA from 1 species